AACCAUUUGUUCUAGAUAACCCAUCACCUUCAGUAACAAAAACUCUCCAAAAAUUAGCAACAAUCUUCAUCCAAGUUUCAACUUUGUCCAUCAUUACAGAAGCAAACAACAAUAAACACCGAUGCCGUAACCUGCAUAAUAUACAAAACAAUAUACAGCUGCUGCUGUCUCAAGCCAAAAAAAAAAACCUUGAAAAUAAUCUUGGAACCAGAUCCUUCAACAUCGCAUCUUCGCCAAUCACAACCUUAACCUCAGCAACACACUGCCUUAACAACAACAAUCUCGAUCAUGCUCUUUCAAAUCUUGUACUUCGUGCUACAAAAUCAAGA